ACGGGUGAGUAACGCGUGGGAAUCUACCCAGCUCUACGGAAUAACUCAGGGAAACUUGUGCUAAUACCGUAUACGUCCGAUAGGAGAAAGAUUUAUCGGAGUUGGAUGAGCCCGCGUUGGAUUAGCUAGUUGGUGGGGUAAUGGCCUACCAAGGCGACGAUCCAUAGCUGGUCUGAGAGGAUGAUCAGCCACACUGGGACUGAGACACGGCCCAGACUCCUACGGGAGGCAGCAGUGGGGAAUAUUGGACAAUGGGCGCAAGCCUGAUCCAGCCAUGCCGCGUGAGUGAUGAAGGCCCUAGGGUUGUAAAGCUCUUUCACCGGUGAAGAUAAUGACGGUAACCGGAGAAGAAGCCCCGGCUAACUUCGUGCCAGCAGCCGCGGUAAUACGAAGGGGGCUAGCGUUGUUCGGAAUUACUGGGCGUAAAGCGCACGUAGGCGGAUUGUUAAGUUAGGGGUGAAAUCCCAGGGCUCAACCCUGGAACUGCCUCUAAUACUGGCAAUCUCGAGUUCGAGAGAGGUGAGUGGAAUUCCGAGUGUAGAGGUGAAAUUCGUAGA
rnacentral:rRNA from 1 species